rnacentral:rRNA from 1 species
GAUGAACGCUGGCGGCGUGCCUAAUACAUGCAAGUCGAGCGAACAGAUAAGGAGCUUGCUCCUUUGACGUUAGCGGCGGACGGGUGUGUAACACGUGGGUAACCUACCUAUAAGACUGGGAUAACUUCGGGAAACCGGAGCUAAUACCGGAUAAUAUUCCGAACCGCUUGGUUCGAUAGUGAAAGAUGGUUUUGCUAUCACUUAUAGAUGGACCCGCGCCGAAUUAGCUAGUUGGUAAGGUAACGGCUUACCAAGGCGACGAUACGUAGCCGACCUGAGAGGCCGAGCGGCGAGACGGGAACUGAGACACGGACCAGACUCCUACGAGGAGCAGCAGUAGGAUAACUACCACAAUGGGCGAAAGCCUGACGGAGCAACGCCGCGUGAGUGAUAAAGGUCUACGGAUCGUGAAACUCUGUUAUUAGGGAAAAACAUAUGUGUAAGAAACUGUGCACAUCAUGGCGGUACCUAAUCAGAAAGCCAAGGCUAACUACGUG